UUGGUCAAACCUGCGCGGGGCGGGGCGGACGCGUCUGUUCCCUACUGGCGGUGCUGGCCAAUAGGACUCCAGCUCGCCCAGUUCAGUGCCCAGCCCAGCCAUGCUGGUUCCCAGGUUCCCUUGCUCCCGCUGUAGUGCGCUGUGCCCGCCAAUCAGCGAGGCUGCAUUGUCUGCGUGGAGAUUGGGUUGGUUCCAUGUCUUACCAACUGUGAAUAAUGCCGCAUGAACAUGGAUGUACAGGCACUCAAGCUCCAAUAGUCUCUGAGGAAGGAGACAGAGAAGAGAAUUCCACCAUUCCCACCACCACCUUUUGGUUUCAUUCAGCUGUGGCAGCCUGU